rnacentral:rRNA from 1 species
AGCGAACGCUGGCGGCAGGCCUAACACAUGCAAGUCGAACGAAGUCUUCGGACUUAGUGGCGGACGGGUGAGUAACACGUGGGAACGUACCUUUUGGUUCGGAACAACUCAGGGAAACUUGAGCUAAUACCGGAUGAGCCCUUAGGGGGAAAGAUUUAUCGCCGAAAGAGCGGCCCGCGUUAGAUUAGCUAGUUGGUGAGGUAAAGGCUAACCAAGGCUACGAUCUAUAGCUGGUCUGAGAGGAUGAUCAGCCACACUGGGACUGAGACACGGCCCAGACUCCUACGGGAGGCAGCAGUGGGGAAUCUUGCGCAAUGGGCGAAAGCCUGACGCGGCCAUGCCGCGUGAAUGAUGAAGGUCUUAGGAUUGUAAAAUUCUUUUACCAGGGACGAUAAUGACGGUACCUGGAGAAAAAGCCCCGGCUAACUUCGUGCCAGCAGCCGCCGUAACAC